rnacentral:rRNA from 1 species
GAGUUUGAUUCCUGGCUCAGGAUGAACGCUAGCUACAGGCUUAACACAUGCAAGUCGAGGGGCAGCAUGUUGGUUGCUUGCUAACCAACGAUGGCGACCGGCGCACGGGUGAGUAACGCGUAUCCAACCUACCCUUGUCCAUCGGAUAACCCGUCGAAAGGCGGCCUAACACGAUAUGCGGUUCACAGCAGGCAUCUAACGUGAACGAAAUGUGAAGGAGAAGGAUGGGGAUGCGUCUGAUUAGCUUGUUGGCGGGGUAACGGCCACCAAGGCUACGGAUCAGUAGGGGUUCUGAGAGGAAGGUCCCCCACAUUGGAACUGAGACACGGUCCAAACUCCUACGGGAGCA